CACACCUAGUCCAAGGAGAUUUGUCAGUAUCAUAAUAUACUCAGAAAUUCUUGAAGUUAGGCUAGUACUCCCCUGAGAACAUGAUAGAUGAGGGCAGGAAGGUAACAAAGUUUGAAUAGGGUCAUCGUCUUGAGAUCAUACAACAGUUAUAUAUCUUCGAGCCUGGCACUUUUGAGCGGUCUUGGCCAAGGCACAAUUAAUAAAGAGGAACCUCUUCAUUUUUUCCUCAGCAGUGGGCAACUCCAAACUCCUAGUUCCACAUCGCAGGCCAACACUACUACACUGAACCAGCAGAACAAGAGACCAAGACCCGCAGCUCAGGCUCCUCCCCAGGCCUCGAUAGUAAGAUGCAGUAAGGUUUGUCAGCAUUAUGACAAGGAUCA
rnacentral:lncRNA from 1 species